UUUAGUCAGGCAACAAGCGAGACCCACGCCCACAGUUGCCAGCGUACUCUCUGGAGUGACGGGUACACUGUGGGGACCGCCGCCGCUAAAGCGGAGGAAGGAAUGGGCAACGGUAGGUCAGUAUGCCCCGAAUGUCCCGGGCUACACGCGGGCUACAAUGGUUGGUACAAUGGGUAUCUACCCCGAAAGGGGAUGGAAAUCUCCUAAAGCCAAUCUUAGUUCGGAUCGAGGGCUGCAACUCGCCCUCGUGAAGCUGGAAUCCGUAGUAAUCGCGUUUCAAUAGAACGCGGUGAAUACGUCCCUGCUCCUUGCACA
rnacentral:rRNA from 1 species